rnacentral:lncRNA from 1 species
CCCAAACAAAACCAAAUAUAAAAAUCAAAACCCAAACCCCAAGUAGACCUAAACCCAAUUAAACCUAAUUAAACCCAAAGCUCCAGCCCAAAUUAAACCUAAGCCCAAUGGCCCAAUACCCUAAAACUAUCAAAAAACCCUAAUUCCCCCUAACCCUAGGUGUGCUGCACCUAGGUCUUCUUGCCUUGUUGCCGCUAUCACCCCCAUGCGUCUGACACCCUCUGCCACCACCGCAGCACGCCUCUAACACCUGCAAAACAAAUAAACACGCAACAACAGAAGAACCAAGCAGAAAAAAACAAAAAAUAGAAACUAAAAGUUGUGUAAAUCGGCUAUAAAAGCCUGGAUCUCAGCAUUGUAUUUUGUUUACG